UUCCGGUUGAUCCCGCCGGACCUGACUGCUAUCGGAUUGAUACUAAGCCAUGCGAGUCUUUGCAGUAAUGCAAGGCAUACGGCUCAGUAACACGUAGUCAACUUACCCUAUGGACGAGGAUAAUCUCGGGAAACUGAGCAUAAUACUCGAUAGAUCAUAAUGCCUGGAAUGGUUUAUGGUUGAAAUGAUUCGUCGCCAUAGGAUGGGACUGCGGCCUAUCAGCUUGUUGGUGAGGUAAUGGCCCACCAAGGCGAUUACAGGUACGGGCUCUGAGAGGAGAAGCCCGGAGAUGGGUACUGAGACAAGGACCCAGGCCCUAUGGGGCGCAGCAGGCGAGAAAACUUUGCAAUGUGCGAAAGCACGACAAGGUUAAUCCGAGUGAUUUCUGCUAAAGAAAUCUUUUGCAAGUCAUAAAACCACUAGUGAAUAAGGGGUGGGCAAGUUCUGGUGUCAGCCGCCGCGGUAAAACCAGCACCUCAAGUGGUCAGGAGGAUUAUUGGGCCUAAAGCAUCCGUAGCCGGCUCUGUAAGUUUUCGGUUAAAUCCAUGUGCUCAACGCAUGGGCUGCCGAAAAUACUGCAUAGCUAGGGAGUGGGAGAGGUAGACGGUACUCGGUAGGAAGGGGUAAAAUCCUUUGAUCUAUCGAUGACCACCUGUGGCGAAGGCGGUCUACCAGAACACGUUCGACGGUGAGGGAUGAAAGCUGGGGGAGCAAACCGGAUUAGAUACCCGGGUAGUCCCAGCUGUAAACGAUGCAGACUCGAUGAUGCAUUGGCAUAUAGCCAGUGCAGUGUCGCAGGGAAGCCGUUAAGUCUGCCGCCUGGGAAGUACGUACGCAAGUAUGAAACUUAAAGGAAUUGGCGGGGGAGCACCACAAGGGGUGAAGCCUGCGGUUCAAUUGGAGUCAACGCCGGG
rnacentral:rRNA from 1 species